GUUCAAUGUGCGUUGAAGCUCCCCCAGGGCUUGAGGCCAGCAUCGAUGCUAAGCUGGAGCGCCUGGGCGGUUUGCUGUCGGAGGAAGGUUCGGAAGGGAGCAGCCUGGUCACAACUUCUGUCGCUU
rnacentral:SRP_RNA from 1 species